CUCCCCCAAGAGUCCACAUCGACGGGGAGGUUUGGCACCUCGAUGUCGGCUCAUCACAUCCUGGGGCUGUAGUAGGUCCCAAGGGUUGGGCUGUUCGCCCAUUAAAGUGGUACGCGAGCUGGGUUCAGAACGUCGUGAGACAGUUCGGUCCCUAUCCGUCGCAGGCGUAGGAAAUUUGAGAAGACCUGUCCUUAGUACGAGAGGACCGGGAUGGACGUACCUCUGGUGUACCAGUUGUCCUGCCAAGGGCAUGGCUGGGUAGCUAUGUACGGAAUGGAUAAGCGCUGAAAGCAUCUAAGCGCGAAGCCAACUUCAAGAUAAGAUUUCCCACCGCAAGGGUAAGACCCCAGAAAGACUAUCUGGUUGAUAGGUCGAAGGUGUAAGUGCAGCAAUGUAUUUAGCUUAUCGAUACUAAUAGGUCGAGGACUUGACCAAU
rnacentral:rRNA from 1 species